rnacentral:lncRNA from 1 species
GAUCGUUAUGGGUGUGGGAUGUGUGUUUUCCAUCUUUUGUUUAUGAAUUGUUUUUGGCCAUUUUGGUGGUGGUUGCUUGUGUGGGGUUCCUGUUUUGUUUUAUUUAUUUGUCUUUUUAUUUGUGAUUUAUUCGAUAUAUACUGUUAUUACUUUUGCUACUACGAUUUUUUCAAUAUUUAUUUUUCUUUUUUUUAAAGAUUAGAGUUAUAAAUCACAAGUUAUUAAUCUCUCAGACAAAGUCUACUUGUUUUU